AUUGAACGCUGGCGGCAGGCCUAACACAUGCAAGUCGAACGGUAGCACAGAGAGCUUGCUCUCGGGUGACGAGUGGCGGACGGGUGAGUAAUGUCUGGGAAACUGCCCGAUGGAGGGGGAUAACUACUGGAAACGGUAGCUAAUACCGCAUAACGUCGCAAGACCAAAGUGGGGGACCUUCGGGCCUCACACCAUCGGAUGUGCCCAGAUGGGAUUAGCUAGUAGGUGGGGUAAUGGCUCACCUAGGCGACGAUCCCUAGCUGGUCGGAGAGGAUGGCCAGCCACCCUGGAACUGAGACACGGUCCAGACUCCUACGGGAGGCAGCAGUGGGGGAUAUUGCACAAUGGGCGCAAGCCUGAUGCAGCCAUGCCGCGUGUAUGAAGAAGGCCUUCGGGUUGUAAAGUACUUUCAGCGGGGAGGAAGGCGGUGGAGUUAAUAACUUCACCGAUUGACGUUACCCGCAGAAGAAGCACCGGCUAACUCCGUGCCAGCAGCCGCAGUAA
rnacentral:rRNA from 1 species